UACGGAAGGCAGCAGGGGGAAUAUUGCACAAUGGGCGCAAGCCUGAUGCAGCCAUGCCGCGUGUAUGAAGAAGGCCUUCGGGUUGUAAAGUACUUUCAGUCGUGAGGAAGGUGUUAAGGUUAAUAACCUUAGCAAUUGACGUUAGCGACAGAAGAAGCACCGGCUAACUCCGUGCCAGCAGCCGCGGUAAUACGGAGGGUGCGAGCGUUAAUCGGAAUUACUGGGCGUAAAGGGCACGCAGGCGGUUAAUUAAGUUGGAUGUGAAAUCCCCGGGCUUAACCUGGGAAUGGCAUUCAAGACUGGUUAGCUAGAGUCUUGUAGAGGGGGUAGAAUUCCGAUGUGUAGCGGUGAAAUGCGUAGAGAUGUGGAGGAAUACCGGUGGCGAAGGCGGCCCCUGGACAAAGACUGACGCUCAUGUGCGAAAGCGUGGGGAGCAAAC
rnacentral:rRNA from 1 species